UACGGGGGGGCAAGCGUUGUUCGGAAUUACUGGGCGUAAAGGGCUCGUAGGCGGAUCUUUAAGUCAGGGGUGAAAUCCUGGAGCUCAACUCCAGAACUGCCUUUGAUGCUGGAGAGCUUGAGUCCGGAAGAGGUGAGUGGAACUCCGAGUGUAGAGGUGAAAUUCGUAGAUAUUCGGAAGAACACCAGGUGGCGAAGGCGGCUCACUGGUCCGGUACUGACGCUGAUGUGCGAAAGCGUGGGGAGCAACAG
rnacentral:rRNA from 1 species